CCUACGGGAGGCAGCAGUAGGGAAUCUUCCACAAUGGGCGAAAGCCUGAUGGAGCAACGCCGCGUGGGUGAAGAAGGUCUUCGGAUCGUAAAACCCUGUUGUUAGAGAAGAAAGUGCGUGAGAGUAACUGUUCACGUUUCGACGUAUCUUACCAGGAAGCCAAGGGUAACUACGGGCCAGGAGGCGGCGGAAUACGUAGGUGGCAAGCGUUUUUCGGAUUUAUUGGGCGUAAAGGGAACGGAGGCGGUCUUUUAAGUCUGAUGUGAAAGCCUUCGGCUUAACCGGAGUAGUGCAUUGGAAACUGGGAGACGUGAGUGCAGAAGAGGAGAGUGGAACUCCAUGUGUAGCGGUGAAAUGCGUAGAUAUAUGGAAGAACACCAGUGGCGAAAGCGGCUCUCUGGUCUGUAACUGACGCUGAGGUUCGAAAGCGUGGGUAGCAAACAGGAUUAGAUACCCUUGUAGUC
rnacentral:rRNA from 1 species